rnacentral:rRNA from 1 species
GACGAACGCUGGCGGCGUGCUUAACACAUGCAAGUCGAACGGUGAAGGGAGCAGCUUCCUGGCUCUGGAUGAGUGGCGAACGGGUGAGUAACACGUGAGUAACCUGCCCCCUUCUUCUGGAUAACCGCAUGAAAGUGUGGCUAAUACGGGAUAUUCUGUGUCUGUCGCAUGUCGAGCCCGGGAAAGAUAUUGCUUGGGUGGGGGAUGGGCCCGCGCCCUAUCAGCUUGUUGGUGGGGUGAUGGCCUACCAAGGCGGUGAGGGGUAGCCGGCCGGUGAGGGUGGACGGUCAGACUGGGACUGAGACACGGCCCAGAGUGCUACGGGAGGCAGCAGUGGGGAAUGUUGCACAAUGGGCGCAAGCCUGAUGCAGCGACGCCGGGUGAGGGAUGGAGGCGUUCGGGUUGUAAGCCUCUUUGGCAAGUGAAGCAGGCCUGCUCGUUGUGGGUGGGUUGACGGUAGCUGGAUAAGAAGCGCCGGCUAACUACGUG